rnacentral:lncRNA from 1 species
GGGGCUCCGAGGAGCCGUCACUGAACCAGAAGAGAGAAGAUAAUGGGAUGGGGUAGCAAGGCCACUGCCUGACACCCUAGAAAGGGACACAAAAGCCUUUGCUGAAGGUGUGAAGGUUCAUCAUUCAUUCAUUCAUUCGACUGAUUUUAAUUGAGGCCUGUGACAGGGCCAAGGAUUCAAGGACGUGUUCCCAAAUUUGUCUGCAUGUUGGCAUCACCUAGGAAGCUUCAAAAAGGACCGAUGAGUGGGUGGGUCCUACCCCAGGGAUGUGAUUGACCUGGGGUAUGACCUGGACUCCAGAAGUUGUAAAGGAUCUCCAAGUAAUUCUGCUGAGCAGCGGAGGCUGGGGACCACUGCUCUACGGCCUGAGAAGGUCAAGCUGUCCCCACGGAACCUUGGUUUACCAGACGCAAAACACAAGUCUUCAGCUAAGAAAACUCGGGGUAGGAAAAUCUCCACUCGCCACGAGGCACCCAGCAAUGAUGACAGAAGGGAGACCUGCAGUGAUUGGUGACAACCCUUGGGGACUCCAGAAAUCCCUGGGAAUUUGUAAGAGACCAGAUUUUCUGUGUGUACUGAUGGGGCUGGAGACCAAGACGACUUACAUAUCUACGUUAAUUUAAACUGAGGUCACGUGCAUUUUCCAAACUGUAGAUAGCCACACAGUCCAUUUAUAAUUAAAAUGAAAAAAAAUCUUUAUUUAAAAGAAAUCGUGCCCUGUGACUCCUCCACUCCUUGCGCUGCCCCCCACCCAUCUCUCAUUACAGUCACCGUGCACAGAAUCUUUGUCAUGGGGUCUAUCGCUCAAGCUUAGAUCUGAUCUGCAUUCCCAGUGCCCUGCAAGGAGAAAGGCAGUGAUUUGAGAAAAGCUGUUACUGAGAGAAAGUUAUUCCUUUAUUGCAGAAUCUAUAAUUGUGAAAAAUUGGACACCAUUAAAAUGUUCCAACACGAGGAGACUGGUUAAAUAGCAACUAUUCAUCUACUUGAGAGAACAUUAUGUCACUAUCAAAAUGAUGUUCACGAGAGUCAACAACUUGGUUAGCAGGGAAAAUGUUUAUUUUACCAAAUGAGGAGGAAAAAAAGCAGGAUGAAAAUUGUAUAUGCACUUUCUCGCCUUUUGCCUGCCGGGGGCAUCACAUCUUUGUCACCUGUGUGCAGACAAAGGCCUACAAGGGAAUACAGCAGGGUCACACCGCAGCUCUUUAUUUACAGGUCAUUUUGGUUACUUUCCUCUUCUUCCUUUUACCAUUCUGUAUUUUUCAAGUUUUUUAUUAUGUGACUUAUUGUUUUAU